rnacentral:lncRNA from 1 species
UUUUUUUUUUUUUUUUUUUUUUGGUUGGUUUUUUUCGAGAUAGUUUCUCUGGAUAGCCUUGGCUUUGUAGACCGGGCUGGCCUCGAACUCAGAAAUCCGCCUACCUCUGCCUCCCGAGUGCUGGGAUUAAAGGUGUGGGGCACCACACCCGGCUCUAUUGGUUUUAUACUCUACACUGUACCUUAUUUAAUGCAUGUUAUUAACGGUCAGAACUUUGUAAGCAUCUUUUGUGGUGGUGUGCGCCACCUGCUGGGGGUGCUGGGAACUGAACUCCUUUGCCAGAGCAGUAGUGAUUUAACCAUUGAGUAAGCUGUGCAGCCCAACAAUAGCUUUUUUUUUUUUUUUUGUAGACAGGGUUUCUCUGUAUAGCCCUGGCUGUCCUGGAACUCACUUUGUAGACCAGGCUGGCCUCGAACUCAGAAAUCCCCCUGCCUCUGCCUCCUGAGUGCUGGGAUUAAAGGCAUGCGCCACCACGCCCGGCUCAACAGUAGCUUCUUAACAUUCGUUGUGCGCCUGUUGAAUUGCUGUUUGGGGAAGUGUGGCCUUGGCUUGUGAGAGUUAGUGUGUAUGUUUCUUGUGAUGCUGGUUAACACGUGGCUGAAAGCCUCUUGUCAGGUCAGCGGGCUUGCUCUCCAGUCUCCUACCACCCGGUAACACUGCUUACUGAAACCACAAGUGUGCUAUGUUGACGCUCACCUGUUUCCUGUUUUAUCCAGUGUUGGCAUCUCUCCAGGGUUGUUUGUUUGACUUUGUAAGUUGUACUUUUAUUUUACCAAGGCCAGUGUAAUACUGUUGAGGUUUCUUGAAAUUAAAAGAUAAUCCUGGAUCCUAGCAUUUAGGAGGCAGAGGCAGGUGGAUCACCACUCCUGGAACAGUGAUUGAUGCUUUCACCAGGAGCUGUCUUUAGCCCGUUUUCUCUCUUGACCUUGCUUGUGGGGAUGUGGCCAUCCAUUUUAUACUUACUUCAAAUUCAUACCCCAUUCGCCUGACUUACCUUUUAUUGUUUGAGGGGCUCUUGCUGUGCGGUGCUGGCUCCCUCACAAGCUCCCUCUGCCUCCUGAGCGAGCUUCACUGUUAGCUCUCUCCCCUGGGGAAGCCACUGUGGAGCUUUUCCUUACUGCCUCCCACCUGUGUGCGCCCCUUAGAGUACUUUGUGUUUUAGCUGCACGUGACUGGAAUCCUGUAGUCUUCGCUCAGUGUUGAGGUUUGCCUGGGCUGGUUCAGUUUUGUUGUUGAAUAGUGUUCUGCAUACUAUACAUAGCUUACUAUGCCAUUGAAUGGACUUGUAUGCAGCUAGACUUUGAGGGCCCUCAGCUUUUUUUUUCUCAUUUCUUUUUUCUGUAAUGUUGUCAUCAAACCCAAAAUCUUGUGCUUUAUGUUAUAGGCAGGUGCUUUCUUCCUGAGAUAUAUCCAUGGCUUAUGGCUUUUUGAGUGCCAUAGCAUAUCUGUGCGUGAGCAUUCCUAGGCAUUACGUCUAGAAGGGAGACUGUGGCCAUAGACACAGCUCUGCUUUAACUUGGUGAUGGCCGCAGGUUCCUUUCUGAAGAGUUUGCCCUUCUACCCUACCACAGCGUGAGAAAAUUCUCUUGGUCCAUGCCAUCCCAGUGUCUAAAAUUGCUAGACUUUUGUGUUUCUGCCAGUUGGUUAGAUAUGCGAUUAUAUUGUAGAUUUUUUUAUUUUGAGAAUUGGAAAAAAUUUUAUUAUGGAGAGAAGUAUUCAAGAGAUGACUGUUGGCUUCCUGAGGGCUUCCUGUGGCUUUCAUGUGCAUUUCUCUGAUUGCUAGUGAAGGUGGAUAUUUUUGCAUCUUUAUUGGCCAUUUGAUUUCUUUUCUGAAGUACGUGUACGUUCAAAGCUUACAAAAUUUUUUAUUAUUUUAAUUUUUUAUGUAUGCAGUGUUCUGCGUGUGUGUGUGUGUGUGUGUGUUUGCGCGCGCGUACCAUGUGUGUGCCUUGUGCUGAGGUCAGAAGAAGGUAUCAGAUCUCUGCACCAGGAGUCAUCCUCCCUGAUGUGGGUGCUGGGAACCGAGCCCGAGGGUCUCCGUAACAGCAACGUGUGCUCUUGACGACCCUGAUCCUCUUUCUCAGGCUGAAUACCAUUUUUAUUUUUUUCUUCUUCCUUUUGGCCUAUUUCUCUUAGAAAACUUCAUUUAUAUGGACUUCGUUGUUGUUGAUGUUUUUGUUGUUUUUAACUUGCUACUGGUUGAAUAUUUCUUGUCUAGAAGGCUUGAACUUCACUUGUGUCUUCAGUUUGGGACUUCUGUGUUCCGUUACAUGUCUGUGUGCAGUGAGAGAGGUCUUGGGAAUGAUCUCCGUGUCUAGCCCCAGAGUUUAUUUUUUCUGAACAUCUUACGCAUAUCUCCCUGGAAUAGGGUUUCUGUACCGUGUGGUUUUACACUGCUGGGGAUUGAUGCAGUCCCAUGCACAGGCUGAACAGUGCCCUCCCACCAGGCUCCACCCCUCCCUCGGAAGGUAGCUUUAUACUGUGCUUUUAGUGUGUGUGUGGGGCUGCAACCUGGUGUGUGCAGUGGGAUGUGAAAUUUCCUAUUUGAGAUGUUGUGUACACACAAAGUUUCAGAGUUUGCCUUUCAGAUUAGGGGUUUUCAGUUUGUACUUGUGAUAUAUAACGAUGGUAGGAGUUAAGAAUACGCCUGAUUCUGGGUCUGGUGGUGCCCACUUUCAAUCCCAGCACUGAGGGGGUCUGUGUGGUCCAGGCCAAUCUUGUCUACAGAACUAGCUGAAUACAGCAAGGGCUACACAGAGAAACCUUGUC